UGAAUAUUUUUUUAAAAAGGAUUAAUGUGUGCAGUUUAAAAGGGUAAAUUUUGUGGUACACAGAUUAUUUCUUACCAAGAGGAAGAAGAGGAGGAAGAGGAGAAAGAGAAAAGGAAGGAGGAAGGAGAUGGGGAGAGGGAGGACAGCAACCACCAGAACAAAACAUUCUAAAAUGUUUUGGGUGAUGCAAGUGUAGAAAUUAAAGCACAAAGGGAUUGACUAAAUUGCCCAGUGUCCCCAGACUGUCUGUUGGAGCCUGGAUCCGCACCCAGGUGUUCUUGAAUGCAUGUUUCUGAUAGCUCUGGAGACUGUGACAUCAAAAUAGAGAAAAAACUUCGAGGACUCAUGGAGAGCUGAAAUGUUCAUGAAUAUCAAGCAGAACAAGAAUUAACUGCAUGGACUAAACUAAUAGAAGUUUGAAGUAAUCUUUUUUAACUUUUUGCUUAAAAUGUUGCUGAUAAUUUGUUUUUCAAAAUCAAGAAACUUUUAAGCUAUUUACAGCUUUUUAACAAUGGAGUAUACUCCUUUGAACAAAAUUUGGAGCAUAUUUGUUUUUAAAACUACCUGAUUUCUACAGAAUUUGGAAUCUAUUUGUGAGUAUUCUUUACUUAUGACAAUACAGUUAUUUGCAUAAGUGCAAUAAGAAUCUGUUUUCAUUUGUAACAGCACACAUUUGAAGAAACUGGUUAUUUUACCAAGGCUUUGACUGAAAUAGUGUGCUUUCCUUUAAAGAAUUAAACUUGACUUAUGGAGCCAAUAAAAAGUCCCUUGGAAAAACUAGCCUCAUACCUUUGUCUCCACAGUCCCUGU